rnacentral:misc_RNA from 1 species
CGUCGUCGGUCGCCCCAUUUGACUCCUCCUCUCGUCGUUCGACGGGUGGACUGCGGGCAUGGGCCGGUGCUGAUGGCGAAAUGAUCGUUCCAGCACAUGAGUGGUGUCGGGUCCUUGCGCGUCGGCGGGCCCCUGCUUCUGUGCAGCCGACCRCCGUCGCCUCCUCCGCUUCUUUCGUCGUCCCUCUCGGGUUCCUUGCGGCCACGUGCCCCACGAGUUGCCUGCGCGAUCUACCGGAUUUAACGUUGGAAAAAUUGAGAUCUUGCCCACCGGCAUCUCCGCUCACUCUCGGCCCCGCGGGGCAGUUGUGGCGGCCACGCUAGCGUUUCCCUCGAUGCUCGCUCGGAUGGUGGCGCGCCUUCGGGCCGUCGUCCCCGAGCGCGCCUUCGGUGGUUUCCGCGAGCGCUCUCGGACCCGGCAGAGCGAGGCGUUCUUUUCGGCUCGGAGGCUGCGGCCCUCCCUUGCUGCGAACGAACUCUUUCUAUCGGUUUGUCGCCCUCGGUUCGGACGACGCUCGGCAUCCUAUCGCGCCCGGCCCCCCGUCCCACGCCGCCGUCCCUACCCCCCGCUGUGGGCGGCGGACGGGUGCUGGGGGCGCGGCGCGUCGCGGUCGAUG